GACAGAGGUGCCAAGCGUUAGGCGGAAUCACUGGGCUUAAAGCGUGUGUAGGCGGAUUUGUAAGUACCUUGUGAAAUCCCACAGCUCAACUGUGGAACUGCUGGGUAUACUGCUUAUCUUGAGCCACUUUAGGGGCUGUCGGAACAAAUGGUGGAGCGGUGAAAUGCGUAGAUAUCAUUUGGAACGCCAACGGUGAAAACAGACAGCUGGGAGUGUGCUGACGCUGAGACACGAAAGCCAGGGGAGCGAACGGG
rnacentral:rRNA from 1 species